rnacentral:rRNA from 2 species
AGCGGCGGACCGCGUGAGUAACACGUGGGUAACCUGCCCAUAAGACUGGGAUAACUCCGGGAAACCGGGGCUAAUACCGGAUAACAUUUUGAACUGCAUGGUUCGAAAUUGAAAGGCGGCUUCGGCUGUCACUUAUGGAUGGACCCGCGUCGCAUUAGCUAGUUGGUGAGGUAACGGCUCACCAAGGCAACGAUGCGUAGCCGACCUGAGAGGGUGAUCGGCCACACUGGGACUGAGACACGGCCCAGACUCCUACGGGAGGCAGCAGUAGGGAAUCUUCCGCAAUGGACGAAAGUCUGACGGAGCAACGCCGCGUGAGUGAUGAAGGCUUUCGGGUCGUAAAACUCUGUUGUUAGGGAAGAACAAGUGCUAGUUGAAUAAGCUGGCACCUUGACGGUACCUAACCAGAAAGCCACGGCUAACUACGUGCCAGCAGCCGCGGUAAUACGUAGGUGGCAAGCGUUAUCCGGAAUUAUUGGGCGUAAAGCGCGCGCAGGUGGUUUCUUAAGUCUGAUGUGAAAGCCCACGGCUCAACCGUGGAGGGUCAUUGGAAACUGGGAGACUUGAGUGCAGAA